AAACUAAGAGUCAAACAUGUGGCAGGCCAUUAGGCGCAGGUGAAGUGGCUGAUGGAUGAUAUCUCUGUCUGCCUCCAAUCGCUCACAUCCAGCUCAGUCCGUAGCGUGACUGGGUGAGGUCUUGUAAAACUUUUCAAAGUCAUAGAGUGAGCUGACUGUCUCAACAAGCUCACCCCUGAGCACGGUGACAGCAACAUAUCUUUUCUUCCUGAGUUACUGAAAAUGCUGUAGGUUGUUGCUCAUCAUAAUGACGUUCUUUAAUUUUACACCAAAAAACACACAGAGGAGGCGAAGGGUGGAUUCAAGCAGUGCGGCAUACACAUGUAAAGACAUAUCUUUGCUCUUCUUUAGAUAUUUUAUUCAUGCCUCUUCUCAUUUAACAGUCAAAAAAAUAGGAUCCAAUAAGACUGGAGGAAAUGGCACCCAAAAAGAGAGAGAGAGAGAGAAAAUUUUAAAAAGAAGAUGGCAGUCUAUCUGCAGGCAAAGAAAAACCUUGUCGCUCGCUCUCUGUUCCCGCAUUAACGUCAGACCAACAUUACUCACCGUCGUCGGCCAUGUGCAUCAAAGAAAAAAACGUGUAUGACUGAUGAAACACUUGCAAAAUUCCUUCUUUUUUUUAAGCCCACUACACUGGGUUGACAGAAAGCAGCUCUAAUGUGGGCAUAUACUGUAGAAGGCACUUCAGUGCUCCAGACAAGCUCGGUCUUUGAUUUUCCAUGGCAAUCCCACUUAAAAACUAAAUUAUUCAGUCUGCUUUGGAAAAAAAAAAUGUGCGCUAUAAGUGUGAGAAAGGAGUGGGCACUCAAAAGAGUCCACAAAACAUGGUGUACAGAAUGAUAAAAGAAUUGAGAAAUGAGAAACUUGGUCACCCCUCACAACCCUGCAGGCCAGAGGAAAACAUUUGUCAAGAGUGUAGUUUCAAAAAAAAAGAAAAAAAAAAAAGAAUAGUGAGCAGCAGUAGCAGCGGAUGCAGCCAGUAAUUCAAUGAAAGAUCAUCUGGUUGUUGAGAUUUACUGCCAUAUGAAGCACUUAUAAAAUCUAAACAGUUUUACUGAGCAAAGAGAAUAGCAGCAUUUAAAAAUCUUCUGAUUACACAACGCAAUGUUUCUACAUUUAAGGUGAUGUCUGUCUGCAUAAGAAAAUGGUCUUACACAAAGUACCAUUGGUUGUUUGAAUGUCUUAGUCAGAAUCUUCACAGACCUUAACUUCACUCUACUGUACAUCAACAUGUAAAAAAAACUCUUUGAUCUACAAUAAGAUAAUAAAACCACAUUUUCACCAUUUGCAUGGUGGAGCACAUGUGCUUGAAUUCUGCACAUAAAGCUGGGGGACUUAGAAGUGACAGGACAUUGGUUUGUCCGUGACAGACGAAUCGAUUUUGAGGUGUCAUGAAGAUUUGAUAAACUACCCUGUGAAUGUGCAGCACGGUGCUGCUUUAUGAUCCAGCAUUUUAACAUGCGAAGAUGAAAGGCACCAAGGUUUUUUGCAAUAAACGGCACCAAAACCUUUCAUCUACACAUCACCAAUUGGUGUUGACAUCUACAUUUACACAUUUAAAUUAUGGAUUUUAUAUAGUCAAACGGCUAUUAAUCUCCAAACAGUACAUUUACACCAUGAACAAAACUGGUUGUAUCUUUGGCUUCAUCUUUUUAGAACAUGGAAUGCCAGCGGUCGAGAAAGAUGUUCCGCCCACAACUGAGUCCGGUUCUGCCAGAGAUUUCUUCCUGUUAAAAGGGAGUUUUUUUGUCUCCAUAGUCGCCAAAUCACCAAGCGCUUGCUCAUUCUGGGAUUUGUUUGUUGUGUUUCUCUGUAAUAUUGUAUUAUUGACCUCACUAUGUGAAGUGCCUUGAGUCAAUGUGUGUUGUGAUUUGGCGCUAUACAAAUAAAAUUGAAUUGAAGUAA